AACGAACGCUGGCGGCAUGCCUAAUACAUGCAAGUCGAACGAUCACGUCGGUGGUAGUGGCGCACGGGUGCGUAACGCGUGGGAAUCUGCCCUUGGGUUCGGAAUAACGUCGGGAAACUGACGCUAAUACCGGAAGAGGACGUAAAUCCAAAGAUUUAUCGCCCAGGGAUGAGCCCGCGUAGGAUUAGCUAGUUGGUGGGGUAACGGCCUACCAAGGCGACGAUACUUAGCUGGUCUGAGAGGAUGAUCAGACACACUGGGACUGAGACACGGCCCAGACUCCUACGGGAGGCAGGAGUAGGGAAUAUGGGACAAUGGGGGCAACCCUGAUCCAGCAAUGCCGCGUGAGUGAUGAAGGCCUUAGGGUUGCAAAGCUCUUUUACCCGGGAUGAUAAUGACAGUACCUGGAGAAUAAGCUCCGGCUAACUCCGUGCCAGCCGCCGCCGUAA
rnacentral:rRNA from 1 species